GGAAGCCUUAUUCAGAGAAAGGAUGCAAAGCUGCUUAGGAGGAUAAGGAACACGCAAGAGUCUGAUGUAAGUUAAAAGUAGGACAAAGGAACACAUUCACAUAAGGGUGGAGACAUAGGAUGGAGCCAGCAAUGAGGCUAAAAGGAACCCUAAUCCCAUUCCUGGCAGCUGCAGGGCUCUUCUUACAAUCUUACUGGACUCCUUUAUCCCAGUCUCUGCUGAGAUCUCUGCCUCCUCUCCAGGAGAUGAACCCCAAUCCUCACCUCUUGGCUGCCCUGCAGCUGAGAUGAAAACUGAAUGUGCUUACUGUCUUUUAGGUUCCUGGCACCUAGUGGGAGAACAAUACAUAGUUGUAGAGAGAAACUCCAGGGAUGGGGUUGUGAACAAGACCCAAAGCCUCCCCCAUAGAGCUUCCUUUUGAAUGGGGGAGACAAACCAAAAAGGGGAGCAACCGUUGAUAUGAGCAUUCGUGCUUUGUUUUGCUUAUCAGAUAAUUUAAUAGCUAGUUCCAAGGCGUCUUUCAUGCUAUAAAGAAACAAAAAAGGACCCAAGAAAAAAUGAUGAGGAGAAGUAUGGUGGUUGGGGAAGCCUCUGUGAGAAGGUGAUAUGCAAGCUGAGACCUAGAAGAGGAGAAGGGACAGAGUUUCAUAGAGUCGGGUGAAGGCAUUCCAACCAGGAAACAGCGUGGACAGAUAGCCCUGGAUGGGAAACAACUAUGGUCUUUGAGAAACCGGGAAGAGGCCAGCAGGCCUGAAGCAGGAUGAGUGAAGAGAGAGGGUGGGAAAACAGCCAGGACCUUGCAGGCAUAGGAAAGAGUUUGGGUUUUAUUUCAAGUGCAGUAAGGAGCUAUGGAAGGACUACGUGGCAGAGAUCAACAAUUGUCCACAAGUAUCCAUUCUCCCCUUUGUCCUGAUUCAUAAAAUCCACAAGGUUGAACUGGGCAUGUGGCUGCCUGGAAUAAGAACAACUUUUCCCAGCCUCUUUUGCAGAUGUGGUCAUGUGACUUAAGCUCUGGCUGCUAGAAUCCAAGCUGGGGUGGUGUAUGCAACUUCUGAGUAGUAUCUUUGAAAGGGGGAUGUGUGUCCCCACUCCUCCUUGCUGCUAUGUGGGGUAUAGAUUAAAUGGCUGGAACCCCAGCACCAUCUCAGACUCUGAAGUGACCUUGGAAAUAAAAGCCAGGAUUGGAGAUGCCACAAUGUAGACAGAGCCUGGAUUCCUGACUCCGUUGAACUGCCAUAGUCUCAGGUAGCCAGCUGCCAGAUGCUUCUGGGAGGGAGGGAAAAGCAUCUAUCUUGCUGAAGCCACUGUUAGUGUGCAUUUUCUGUCACAGCUAAACCUAAUUCUAACUGAUAAAGGCUUUCAGGAGGAACCACAUGAUUCCGUUUAUCACAUCAGAAGCUCCCUUAGGCCCUUGUGAGGAGCAGAAGAUUGAAAGGGAGUGAGUACAGAGCAGGGAGAUAGGGGCAGAGGCUGCUGCAAUCAUCCAGGCAAAUGAAUGAACAAAUGAAUGAAUGAAUUGUAACCGGACCCAGGUUCAGUUGCUCUCUGCUUGAAAGCCAAAACUCAAGAAAUGAGACUUGGUGGGAGGAAAAACAGGUUUUUCGGGAAGCCAGCAAACGGAGAAAAUGGUAGACUACCAUCCUAAAAUGCCAUCUUAAGUCAGCACAAAUUUCAGGCUUUUUUUUAUGUUAAGGGCAGGGGAAGAAGAGGGAGUUGGGAUCAAGAUGUGACUGAUGACUGCAGACCUCUGGGUGCCAGUGAGGGCCUGAGGAGUUUGGGAACUUCUUUGUCCUUGGUCAGGUCACAAUGCUCCUGUAAAUCUUUAACAAAACACAGUUGUUUACAUACUUUCCCUUUAACCCCAGAGUUAUUUUUUAAAACUACAUAAUUGCUGUUUUUGUGUAUUAUCUAUAUGGAUCUUUAACAAAACAUGAUUGUUUACAUACUUUCCCUAUAACCCCAGAGUUGGCUUUUAAAACUACAUGAUUGCUGUUUUUGUGUAUUAUCUCAGUGCUCUAAAAUUAUCCUAGCCUACACGCGGGCAUGGGUUAAAGCCCCUUACACAAAUACGGUGAGUGUUACAUUCUUUUGCUGUUUCGCUGUUGCUGAAUGAAUGACUGAAUGAAAGCAUCUCCCAAGGCUGCCUGCUUGCUUACCUUCUCACAUGAUGCUUCUUUGCCUCUCUGUUCCUUAAGGAGCUUUCCCUCCCUUCUUUCUUGCCCCACAGUCCCCAAACUCACCAGUGUGGGCAGAAGGAGAAAAGGAAUGUUCUAUCCAGCCCCAUACCCCAGCACCUGCUGGGCAACUUUGUCUUCCCUUCUGCAAAAGAAAAGAAGUCCCCUCAAACACAGGAGAGGAUGGGAAAAGGCAUCUCUCUAAGCAGUAACCCUGGCAGGGCCCUUCAGGAUUCCCAAAUUCCCAAUUUAUAGACAGGGAAACUGAUCCCUAGAGAAGGGAAGGGACUUGCCCAUGUCCACACAGCAUGUUAGUGGGACACAUCAUGAAACAUAAAAGCAGGAAGAGGGUCUAGAAACCAUCUAGCCCUACCCCCUCAUUUAGAGAAAGGAAAACCGAGGCCCAGAGAGGGAGAGUUAGUGACAGAGCCACAACAAGAACUCAGAAGAGGGUCAGCUGGUGUGCAACCAGCUCAGUGACACAAAAGCCUGUGCUAGGGAUUUAAUGUUCUACUGUCGUGUCUUGAAAUUCUUCAUAUCUUAUCUGUAAAUGUGUAGUUUGUAAAUGAAGUCUGUGAGAUAACACAGCAGGCACCCAGGCCAACAGCCUCAGUUCAAGUGCAGUCCGGCCCCUCCCUCACCAGGUGGGUUCUCAGUGCCAGCUUCCCCAACCCCCUGCUAUCUCCUCCUCACAUCCCUUCUUCUCUCUCUUCCCCCCAACAGCUGCCAGUCUGCUAUCUGCAGGGCACUGGCACGGGAGGCUGAGCAUGCACAUCCCACAGCAUUUGGGUAGGACACGACUGCAGCCAUGCCUGCCCUAGAGGUUGAUGACAUCGUGGUGCCUUCAAGGGGGGAAACUGGCAGGGCAAGCCUUUCCCCUAUGCUAGAGCCUCUGACAUGGAGGUUGCAAGAUGUGGGGGUACCUGUCCACCAUGGAUUGGGGUGAAGGGCCUGUGGGAAAGGAGGAUGCCUGGCUUCCCUUCUCCGGGUCCUCUUGCCUCAGUGUAGGGGACCUGGCAGCAGAUGGGCACUGGUGGGCCACACUGCAGGGGAAGGCUCCUGGGUGCCUUGAGGGCCUCCGUGCUCCUCUCCAGUAGCUCCAUGCCCAAGGUAGCAUAGCAUUAAAUAGCAAAUACACAGCACAAGAGGGGCCACAGAAGUGGGGUGGGGCUUUAUGUUUGGGUACCUCUCUCCUGCCUGUGGAACAAAAGGCUUGUGUUUGCAAUGUGCCCUGGGCUGUCACAUUAGGUAGCUGUCCUGACUCAGGACUUCUGUUGCUCUGGCCACCAGCCCCCAGCACUCAGCACCGCUGGACAACACCGGUGUAUUCACGUUCAGUCUAGUGCGUUCCCGGCCCUGUGCUGGGCCUCUUUUCCCUGUUUUCUUGUUUGCAGCCUUGUCGUAACUGAGUGAGGUGUGCACUAUUAUUAGACUCAUUUUACAGGUGAGGAAAGACAGCUGCCCAUAGGCUGAGUUAACUUGUCCACGUCCUCCACCAGGGAAGCAAGAGAGCCAAGCUCCCCACCCAGGUGGCCUGGUGCUCCUGUCCUGGCCCGACAUGCGGGCAGUCGGGCCGUCGGGAAAGGAAAGCGCAGUGUAGAGGAGCUGCUUCUCACCGCCUCUCCUCCCCUCCCCACCUUCCCCGGGAACUCAUGCCCCUCCCCUGCACUCCUGCUCCUUGCCGGCUCGCCCUGGGCCGCUCCGAAGGGAGGAGACCACGUGACCCAGGUCACCGGUAACCAGGCAACCGUUCCAAGACACUGCUUUUCAUCCACUCUGGCUUCUACCUUAUUCAAUAUCUGCCAGGCGGGCAAGGCUCCUGGGAGCAUCCCUGAAGCCAUUUCUCUGGGCCAGGAGCCAGCUGUUCCCAAAAUGGCCACGAUGCCUCAGGAGGGAGGUUGACACCCUGUGCUCUCAGAAGCAGCUCAGAGCUCAGAGGCAGACCUCUACUCAUGCAAUUCUGCCUUCUGUGCAUGCAAUGGAUUGCUGCCAUCUCCAAUCAGCCACAAUGGGAGGCCACCUGCUAGACAUGGAAGAGCCACCGGAUGGAAGAAGCCUGGGUCUCUGAAAUACUGCUUGGAGUAGACUACUCUGCCUGCAAACUAGGAGCACUGAUUUUGGACUUUUUGGGAGGGACUUCUAUGCCCUCUGCAGUUUGCCUCUUCCUCUGCUAUUUUUUCAUGUAUGUGUAUGUUUUUUGCCUGUAUUUGCAAUGCCAGCCAUCAUUUGCCAUGUCUUCUAGCGGCAACCUGCAUUUAGCCCAGAUCUGCUGUGAUUAUUCCUUUUCACAAACCACAAUGACUCUGGAAAACCUGGCUGUAAACACCAGCACUGCCACCAGCUAAGGAUCUGUGAUCAGGAGUGCCAUCUCACGGUAACAGGAAUAUGAAGUCUGAGGUUUCUGCUCUGACAAGAGGAAAUGUCUAACAGCAGAAGACAAAAGUGAAACCGGGCUGAUGCGAAUCACUGGGAAACUGGCUUUGGCACCUCCAGAGAAUGAACUGUUUCAUAGCCUAGCUGACCAUCCAUGAAAAUGGCUGCCUGGAGAGGCAGUGAUCAGCCCAUCCCUGCAGGGUGAAGAUAAGCUUGUGCAGGCCACUGGCUAACACAGUUCAUCCCAUGCCUCCUACAUACCAAGCACUGUGCCAGGCACUUUUCACGUCUGGCAUCCUCAGAAUCCUCCAAAAGGAGAGGUUCGUGGAGGAUAAUGCUGUCAGGCUUGGAAGCAGCAGUAGAGAUCACGUUGCCCAGCUCUUGGCAUCAUUGGUUCCCAAAGCUCUGAAUCCCCUGGAGAGCUUUUGUAAAAGGUCGGAUUCAGACAAUCCGGUGGAGCACUCUGAAAUUUAGAGGAAGUGGUCAAAUAGAAUUUUCUGGAAUUAUGGAAAUCUUCUAUUCUGUGCAUCUAGUAUAGUAGAAUCUAGUCACAUGUGGCUUUUGAGAACUGGAAAUAUGGCUAAUGCAACAGAGAAAGUGAAUUUUUACUUUUGAUUCAUUUAAAUAUAAAUGGUCACAUAUGACAUCACUGCCAUAUUGGACAUUGCAGUUCUGGAAGAUGGCAGAUGCAGCCCUCAGAAGAAUUAUCAGCCUGAAUGUCUGGGCGGAGCAGAGCACUACCUUCCCACUCACUCUUCCCCUCCUCUCGCCCCCUCCCCUGCCUCACUUGCAUCAGAUUAUGAUGUGAGCAAAAGCAGGAAACAGCUCUUUUGAUAGGCCUGUGAGACUUGCUGUUCGUUGGAGUAGCUAGGCUGCUCUGACUCAUACAGACCCAAAUCCUGGCAACCACUUUUAUGAAGAAAUGACAAUUCAGUCUACUACUUGUCCAUUUUACAUGCCCAAGGAAUGUGAGGGGCCUCUGCUUGGAUCUAGUUUUCAACCUAGUCUAUGGCAUUGAUUAUCCUUUUAAAAGACAAAAGAGGUGACUUCACGGGCACUUAACAUCUUGGCCAUACUGACCCCAGUUGCACGCUACGUAGGAAGUUUUAGUCCAUUUAAACUGAAGUUCCAAUUUUUUUUUUAACAACUAUUUAAAAAUUGUACAUGUCCCAUACAUGACAGAGAAAGGGUUGUCUGGUUGGAUGAUUUUUGGCUUGCAAAAAGAGAACACAAAAGAAAAGCAUACGUUUUAAUACUCAAGAGACCAAAUUUUCUGCUGAAGAGGAAAUGAACUACAUAUCCAGAAGGGUCCUACCAAGAGGCCAAACAGACUGUGUUCUCUUGGGGGAGUUCUCAGUGGUGAUGAGAACACCACUUUUUUUUUUUUUUUAGUCAUUUUCAAGGUGAGAUAUUGACUUGCUGCUGGAGCAGGACAACUGGUCUCUCUUUCAUUGCUAGCAGCAGAGUAAGGGUCUUGCAAGUUUCAGGCAGCAGCAGAGAAAGGGUCUUGCAAGUUUCAGUCCAAAGCAAGAAGAGCUAGGAUUGCACCAGCUGUCUCACCUACUCUGUGCUCACCUGUUUCUGGAUGAAGCACGGUGACAUCUGUUUUAUUGUAAAGAGAACCAACUUUGGAAUCAAAUGGAACCUGUAUUAAAAUCCUGAAUCCGUCACUAGCUUGGACAAGUCA
rnacentral:lncRNA from 1 species